AAAUUGAAGAGUUUGAUCAUGGCUCAGAUUGAACGCUGGCGGCAGGCCUAACACAUGCAAGUCGAACGGUAGCACAAAGGAGCUUGCUCCUUGGGUGACGAGUGGCGGACGGGUGAGUAAUGUCUGGGAAACUGCCCGAUGGAGGGGGAUAACUACUGGAAACGGUAGCUAAUACCGCAUAACGUCGCAAGACCAAAGAGGGGGACCUUCGGGCCUCUUGCCAUCGGAUGUGCCCAGAUGGGAUUAGCUAGUAGGUGGGGUAACGGCUCACCUAGGCGACGAUCCCUAGCUGGUCUGAGAGGAUGACCAGCCACACUGGAACUGAGACACGGUCCAGACUCCUACGGGAGGCAGCAGUGGGGAAUAUUGCACAAUGGGCGCAAGCCUGAUGCAGCCAUGCCGCGUGUAUGAAGAAGGCCUUCGGGUUGUAAAGUACUUUCAGCGAGGAGGAAGGUGUUGUGGUUAAUAACCGCAGC
rnacentral:rRNA from 1 species